ensembl:lincRNA E130006D01Rik RIKEN cDNA E130006D01 gene
GAGAGCCACCCGGCUCUGGGCUGCGGAGGAGGUUGGAGGUGACCUUCCAGAAGGAACGUGGGACAAGGGAGCAAGUGAGGACCUGGUGGGUAGUGGUUACUCUGUGAGAAGCCAGCAGCACCAACCAAAUAGAAGGUGGAGAAGUGGCCCCCAGCUUCCCAGUUUGGGUUUGGGCCAAGACAACUAAGAAAAGGGUCCACCGUCUUCACUCCAGGUCAGAUGACCCUGCAUUGUAUCAAGUAGAAAAAUGUCUAACCAGGACAGAGGAGAAUACGAACCCUCUCAGCUCAUAGACAGGUGAUGAUGUGGUUUCCAACUGACUUUCAAGCAAACAGAUUUCCAAGCAUGCUUGAAGAGGGCAGUAAAUGAGAAGGCACAAGACUCUUACUCUGAAGGAGGAUGAUCAGAACGGCAUAGCUGCCUUCUUGGCCUGUCACAGAAUUAAAUGGCAAAGGGUUCCGAGGACUAUCUAGCAUAUACUGCUGUCACUACAGGGGCGUAGUCUGUAAGAGGGAUAACCCAGCCCCCUAAUAAGGCAAGCAUGUAAUUUUCUGUGACAGAUGCAAGAAGAGAGAGGGGUUUGCUGGAAAUCGUGGCUGACCACCUCAGAAGGACCCAGAAGACCCGAACUUUCUGGUUUUGCCUUUCACCUUGCUCUGAAACUUCUCCCAACACUGGAAGACAAGAAAGUUCCGCCCUACCUCCGCCCCACCUCCGCCCCCCGGACCAGGGAGAUUCUUCUCUUUGGGCAAGCAGGCUUGCUGGGCAAUCGUGAGCUGCUGAGUUCCCAUUCCCAUAGAAAGCUGGACAUGGACAUGCAAGCCUGUUUCUGCAGCAUGCUCAACUCCAGGAGCUCUCUGGUCUCCUAUAAAUAAAGGAUAACACAUUCGGCCUUCUUACCAUUUC